rnacentral:rRNA from 1 species
UACAGAGGGUGCGAGCGUUAAUCGGAAUUACUGGGCGUAAAGCGCGCGUAGGCGGCUUUGCAAGUCGGGUGUGAAAUCCCCAGGCUUAACCUGGGAACUGCAUUCGAGACUGCAUUGCUAGAGUAUGGGAGAGGGAAGUGGAAUUUCCGGUGUAGCGGUGAAAUGCGUAGAGAUCCGGAAGAACACCGGUGGCGAAGGCGGGCCUGCUGGGGUCUGGCUGACGCUGAGGCGCGACAGCGUGGGGAGCAAACAGG